rnacentral:tRNA from 1 species
GGAAGAAUACCCAAGUUCGGUUUAAGGGAUCAGUCUUGAAAACUGACAGGUCUGAAAAGACGCGGGGGUUCGAAUCCCUCUUCUUCCG